CUCCUCGCUGGCUUGGAGAAGAAGAUCCGCUCAGAUGCUUCACUAUAUCCUAGUCUGGCAAUGGAGGCACACUCGGCAACUGUCAGAGCAGGGAUUAUUAAGGAAGUGGAAAGCAUUGUGGAGCAAGCCCUGAAACUGUACAGCGCUGACAGGGUUGGAUUGGUGGAUUAUGCACUGGAAUCUGCUGGUGGCAGUGUGAUCCACACACGCUGCACAGAGACGUUAGAGACCAAGACU